AAAACAUUUGGACCGUCGAUCUACCGAGCAAAUAUCACUCGCUCGGUGGAAGAUUUAUCCUUUCGUCGU
rnacentral:pre_miRNA from 1 species